CCAAGCAGGAGAAGAAGCAGAGGCUGCUGGCCCGCGCUGAGCAGAAGGCAGCUGGAAAGGGAGAUACCCCAACCAAGAGGCCCCCUGUUCUCCGUGCAGGUGUGAACACUGUCACCUCUCUGGUAGAGAGCAAGACGGCCCAGCUGGACA